rnacentral:rRNA from 1 species
UACGGAAGGGGCAAGCGUUGUUCGGAAUCAUUGGGCGUAAAGGGCGCGUAGGUGGUUCUGUAUGUCUACCGUGAAAGCAUACAGCUCAACUGUAUUUUGUCGGUAGAAACUGCAGGACUUGAGGCUGGGAGGGGCUGGUGGAAUUCCCGGUGUAGCGGUGAAAUGCGUAGAGAUCGGGAGGAACACCGGCGGCGAAGGCGGCUGCCUGGACCAGUCCUGACGCUGAGGCGCGAAAGCUAGGGGAGCAAACGGG